rnacentral:rRNA from 1 species
UACGUAGGUGGCAAGCGUUAUCCGGAAUUAUUGGGCGUAAAGAGCGCGCAGGUGGUUGAUUAAGUCUGAUGUGAAAGCCCACGGCUUAACCGUGGAGGGUCAUUGGAAACUGGUCGACUUGAGUGCAGAAGAGGGAAGUGGAAUUCCAUGUGUAGCGGUGAAAUGCGUAGAGAUAUGGAGGAACACCAGUGGCGAAGGCGGCUUCCUGGUCUGUAACUGACGCUGAGGCGCGAAAGCGUGGGGAGCAAACAGGAUUAGAUACCCCGGUA